UGUUCUGUGGCUUAGUUGGUUAAAGCACUGGUCCAGCGAAAACAGAGUCGUGGGUUCGAAUCCCACCACAACGC
rnacentral:tRNA from 1 species